AACGAACGCUGGCGGCAUGCCUAACACAUGCAAGUCGAACGAGACCUUCGGGUCUAGUGGCGCACGGGUGCGUAACGCGUGGGAACCUGCCCUUAGGUUCGGAAUAACUCCCCGAAAGGGGUGCUAAUACCGGAUCAUGUCUUCGGACCAAAGAUUUAUCGCCUUUGGAUGGGCCCGCGUUGGAUUAGCUAGUUGGUAGGGUAAAAGCGUACCAAGGCGACGAUCCAUAGCUGGUCUGAGAGGAUGAUCAGCCACACUGGGACUGAGACACGGCCCAGACUCCUACGGGAGGCAGCAGUGGGUAAUAUUGGACAAUGGGCGAAAGCCUGAUCCACCAAUGCCGCGUGAGCGAUGAAGGCCUUAGGGUUGUAAAGCUCUUUUACCCGGGAUGAUAAUGACAGUACCGGGAGAAUAAGCUCCGGCUAACUCCGUG
rnacentral:rRNA from 1 species